GCGCAGCUGCUUCCCUUAAAGAGAAAGCUGUUGUCCCAGGAGGAGUGGGACACCUUGGAACCCAGGAGGAGCCCUGCCUCCCAGUCCAGGGCCCAACAUUUUCCUAAAGGCUCUAAAAUCAGGAAUCCAGGGCUCUGUGGCCCACAGCCCAUGUGGACAUCCGAGUCAGGAGCUCAUUAGGCACCCCUCUGUACCUGAGUCCAGUGGGCAAGAGACAGGAGACUCUCUUUCUCCAGCAUUAAAAGAGUGUGACUGUGGAAGGGAUUCUUGGCAGAGGUUGAAGAGAACCAGAGCCAUUUCCUGAGAGCCUGGAUGAGCGUCCAUCUAUGGAGCUGCCUCUCUGCCCCCAGGACAGGCCUGUUCACAGCUGAAGAACUGUGAAGAGCCUGAGUGAGGACUGACUCAGCAGAGACCACUGCAGGCUCUGGAUCCCUUUUGGUUGAAGCAGCUUGGGUGCGAAGCUUGGGUGGUCACUAGAGGGAGUUGGAGACGAGAGAGGCCCAGGUGGUGGGGCUGUGCAAGUGUGGAGCCCAGGAGACCUAUGGGCACCCCUGCGACCCAGGGUAAUCACUGCUUCCCUGCUGUCCUAAGGCCAGAGGUCUCUCUAGCUCACUGGGGCAGAGAGCAAUUGUCCUCAGCUGGCACCACAGGCCUAGAGUUCUUCUUUCUGCCAUUAUAGAUCAUGUUAUUAUUUUUUAAAAUUUACUGUGGUAAAAUACACAUAUCAUAAAAUGUACCAUUGCAGCCAUUUUAAAGUGUACAAUUCAGUGACAUUUAGUACAUUCACAGUGUUGUGUAGCCAUCAUCCAUCACCACUUUCUAGUUUCAGAACAUUUUCAUCACCCCAGAAGGAAACCCGUGGAGCAGACACUUCUAGUUCCCACUCUCUCCAGCCCUGGCAACCACUAACCUGCUUUUUGUCUCUCUCACU